AUGCAUGGACUGGCUUGGAGUGAGGCUCCUUUACUCUGCAAAAUGAAAUCUACAAAAGUGGGUGAUUGGCUCUGGAGUUGUCUUGGCCUUUUGGAUCUUCUGUUCAUCUAGGAGCAUCUGUCUCAUUACCUGAAAUGGUAAUAAAUAUUAGACGUAUUAUAAAUACUAUAUGUAAAACUUAUUAAAUAAAACAAUUUUAAUGAAA